CCUACGGGGGGCAGCAGUGGGGAAUUUUGGACAAUGGGCGCAAGCCUGAUCCAGCAAUGCCGCGUGCAGGAAGAAGGCCUUCGGGUUGUAAACUGCUUUUGUACGGAACGAAACGGCUCUGGUUAAUACCCGGGGCUAAUGACGGUACCGUAAGAAUAAGCACCGGCUAACUACGUGCCAGCAGCCGCGGUAAUACGUAGGGUGCAAGCGUUAAUCGGAAUUACUGGGCGUAAAGCGUGCGCAGGCGGUUUUGUAAGACAGGCGUGAAAUCCCCGGGCUCAACCUGGGAAUGGCGCUUGUGACUGCAAAGCUGGAGUGCGGCAGAGGGGGAUGGAAUUCCGCGUGUAGCAGUGAAAUGCGUAGAUAUGCGGAGGAACACCGAUGGCGAAGGCAAUCCCCUGGGCCUGCACUGACGCUCAUGCACGAAAGCGUGGGGAGCAAACAGGAUUAGAUACCCGGGUAGUC
rnacentral:rRNA from 1 species